ACUUGUUUUAUUUCCUCUCUCUCCUUCGUUCUCCUCCAAUUGAUCCCCUUUUUCUCACCCCUUGCCAUGAACGCCACACCGCCAUGGAUGCGGCCUUCAAGCAACCCAUGUCCAUCCCCUCUCUACCUCCCUGCUGACACGCGUCCUCACCACCGCCUCCCGCAAAGCCUGCAUUGAGGCGACGACGAGCUGCUCUGUCCCUCCCUCCCCUGUGAGCUUGAGGCGAUGGCGCUCUCUCACCGUGCGGCUGUGACACUAUUUGUUUUGCAAGACACCGUGCUUCCUGUUAUGGCUUUGUUUUUUAUUUUUAGCCGGUUGCAGCUUUUUGAUUUGUCGAUUCCAGCUUUUUAUUUCGCUGGUUGUAGAAAUUUCAUUCACGAGCACCAAUCUUUGAUUAGUUGGUUCCAACAUUUUUUCCCGCCGGUAGUAGCUUUUCACGUCGCUGGUUUCAAUAUUUGAUUUCGCCGGUCGCAACAUCCCCCUUUUUGUUAGUAGCAACUUUUUGAUUCACACGUUGUAGCAUUUUAUUUCGUCAGUAGUAGCUGUUUGCUGGAGGAAGGGGAUCGAUGAAGAUUUUUAUUUGCUACAACCUUGUACCACAGAAGCUUCAACCAUGUGUGCCAGAGCUGCAAGCCGUGUACAUCAGAGCUACAACCGGAGACGCCCGUCGCCAGCGAGGCUGCAACCGGCAUGGGCCAAGGUGCAAGCGACGCAACGGCAAGCUCCAAACCUGGUGGAUCACCAUGCCGGCGAGGGGAGCUGCAUCCAUGGUGGCGAGUAGCUAGAACCGUCUUUUAUUUUUUCCUACGACCGACCAAAUGUUUUGCUACGCUCCAGCGACGAAGGAACAUAGUGCUGUAAAAUCGACAACGACGGUGAGCCGUAGGCGGCGACGCCGUGCUUCGAUGGGGCGCACAAGCUGCUGGAACCGGCUUUGGCCGCAAGCUCCAUUAGGCUUUCAGUGGAGCUGCACAUGACAGAUGGGUGUGUUGGGCAAUAAGCCGCGGCGGCGAGCCGGGCGCGAUCGGUGCGUGUUAUGGGUGCGCAUCAGACGCGUCUUGCGCGUCGGGACCGCGGGCGUGUGUGCGUGCGUGUGGUGCACGGGGUGGCUGUGCAGGUUAGACACCGUGCGUGUGUGCGUGUAGACUAGGUCAGGACGUGAUCCGAGCGCAGCGGGAGCGCGUGAUCGUUGAGGGCUCGGCGCAAGGCGCGCACGCGGAGCGCAUCGCGGGGCGUGCAGAGCAGGCCGAUCGGAGCGCGCGAGUGGGCAGGAGCGAGUGGGUCGUUGCCCAGCUUGGCCCGGGUAUAAAGCUCGCAGUGGCGAUCAUUGUAAUGGCGUGGUGUGGAUAUUGAGUUUGUGCUCAGGGAGGCGUACAUGCGCCAGCAAAAACACCACCGUGUCUUGGUUCUUCUUCC